rnacentral:rRNA from 1 species
GAAAUCGUACGAGGCGCGAGGGCUGUCGCUGACCUUUCCCGGUCGUGCACGCCCGAGCCCUCUCACACAAUCCAUCUCACCCUUUGUGCAUCACCGCGUGGGUCCCCCUUUGCCGGAGGGCCCGCGUCUUUACACAAAACUCGAUACAGUGUAGAAUGUUUAUUUUCGCCGUCGCACGCGAUCAAUAAUACAACUUUCAACAACGGAUCUCUUGGCUCUCGCAUCGAUGAAGAACGCAGCGAAAUGCGAUACGUAAUGUGAAUUGCAGAAUUCAGUGAAUCAUCGAAUCUUUGAACGCACCUUGCGCCCCUUGGCAUUCCGAGGGGCACACCCGUUUGAGUGUCGUGAAAUCUUCAAAAACCCUCUCUUUUGAGGUUUUUUGGACUUGGAGGUUCAAUGCUCGCUUUCUUCUUUUAGAAAGCGAGCUCCUCUCAAAUGAAUCAGUGGGGUCUGCUUUGCCGGUCCUUGACGUGAUAAGAUGUUUCUACGUUUUGGAUUCGACAUCGUCCCGCUCCCAAUCGUCCCACGGACAAAAGGAUGGUGCUCCGGUCGCGGGUCAUCGCUCGCGGCUGGACCCACGAAAAAAACCUUGACCUCCAAUCGGGGGAGAAUACCCGCUGAACUUAAGCAUAU